rnacentral:rRNA from 1 species
CAGCAGCCGCGGUAAUACGUAGGACACGAGCGUUAUCCGGAUUUACUGGGCGUAAAGCGCCUGUAGGUGGACGAACAAGUCGGCUGUGAAAGCCCUGGGCUUAACCCGGGGAGGCCAGGCGAUACUGUUCGACUUGAGGGUGACAGAGGGGAGUGGAAUUCCCGGUGUAGCGGUAAAAUGCGCAGAUAUCGGGAGGAACACCAGUGGCGAAGGCGGCUCCCUGGGUCAUACCUGACACUGAGAGGCUAAAGCUAGGGGAGCGAACAGGAUUAGAGACCCUGGUAGUCCUAGCCCUAAACGCUGGAUGCUAGGUGUGGGAUCGAGAGGUUCCGUGCCACAGCUAACGCGAUAAGCAUCCCGCCUGGGGACUACGGCCGCAAGGCUAAAACUCAAACGAAUUGACGGGACCCCGCACAAGCAGCGGAGCGUGUGGUUU